UAGUAAGUAGCUAUAUUUUAAUUGCACGAAUAUUAUAUAGAUAACAUACGUGUAGUCGUAAAGAUUGGCGCUUUACUGAAAAAGUGUACUAGCAAGUUUAUACAAUACUGUUGUUCUACUAUAGGACUGUAGGAAUUAUUCUGCACUGCUGCGAUCAACGUGACAUGUGACUCCAUAAACGUUAGAUCUACCUUUAAAUCAAGGUAGAGUGUAAAUUAAAAUUGAAUCACGUGA